UUAGAAUGUGGGUAUGGAUGUUAUUGGCUCUAUGCAGAAUACAUGAAGCUUAAAUGUGCAGUCUUGUCCAGUUUUACCUGGUUAAACCCCAGCAGGUGUACUGAGGCUCUGCUUAGCUUGUGCUGAUAGUUUAGGAGUGAUAUCUACUCUUGUCUACUUUCUAUCUCCUUGGUUUUGGACCAAAUCCUCCCUCUGGUCAUUUCCCUAGAUCCCACCCUCGUCAUCUGUUCCACACAAGAUACUUGGUCGCUCACCAUUUUCUGAAGAUGCCUUGGAAACCUGUCCACUUCUGAGACCAAGGAGACACAACAAAAGCUGGGGAUGGUGACUUGGCCAAAUGAGGAAAGGUCACUCCUGAGCCCAGAACUCUGCUACGAUGAAGACCGACGCCUAACAAUCGACCCUUUGUGUCCAUAAACCUGACGGUAUCAGAAGGAGUGAAGAAAACUGGGAAUACAAUUUCCUCGGGGUCAUUUCAAUGUUCUGUAAACUCUAGGAAUGUGCUUUGCUUUUAUCGUUUUGCUUUCAAGAAAACGAGUUAUACGAUUUCAGUAA